rnacentral:rRNA from 1 species
AGGACUAACGCUGGCGGCGUGCCUAACACAUGCAAGUCGAACGAAGUAGCAAUACUUAGUGGCAGACGGGUGAGUAACACGUAGUCAACCUGCCCUUCAAUGGGGGAUAACUAGCCGAAAGGUUAGCUAAUACCGCAUACGAUCUCUGAGUGGCAUCACUCGGCGAUGAAAGGAGUAAUCCGUUGAAGGAGGGGACUGCGUCCCAUUAGUUAGUUGGUGGGGUAAUAGCCUACCAAGACUCCGAUGGGUAGCUGGCUUGAGAGAGCGACCAGCCACACUGGAACUGAGACACGGUCCAGACUCCUACGGAGGCAGCAGUGAGGAAUUUUCCGCAAUGGGGGAAACCCUGACGGAGCGACGCCGCGUGUGGGAAGAAGGCCUUCGGGUCGUAAACCACUGUCGAGGGGACGAUAUUGACGGUACCCCGUGGAGGAAGCCCCGGCUAACUACGUGCCAGCAGCCGC